rnacentral:rRNA from 1 species
UACAUGGGGUGCAAACGUUGCUCGGAAUUAUUGGGCGUAAAGCGCGCGUAGGCGGUUACUUAAGUCGGAUGUGAAAGCCCUCGGCUUAACUGAGGAAGUGCACCCGAAACUGAGUAGCUAGAGUACGAAAGAGGGUCGCGGAAUUCCCGGUGUAGAGGUGAAAUUCGUAGAUAUCUGGAGGAACACCGGUGGCGAAGGCGGCGUCCUGGACCAACACUGACACUGAUGAGCGAAAGCCAGGGGAGCAAACGGG